rnacentral:rRNA from 1 species
GAUGAACGCUGGCGGCGUGCUUAACACAUGCAAGUCGAACGAUGAAGCCCAGCUUGCUGGGUGGAUUAGUGGCGAACGGGUGAGUAACACGUGAGUAACCUGCCCUUAACUCUGGGAUAAGCCUGGGAAACUGGGUCUAAUACCGGAUAGGAGCGUCCACCGCAUGGUGGGUGUUGGAAAGAUUUAUCGGUUUUGGAUGGACUCGCGGCCUAUCAGCUUGUUGGUGAGGUAAUGGCUCACCAAGGCGACGACGGGUAGCCGGCCUGAGAGGGUGACCGGCCACACUGGGACUGAGACACGGCGCAGACUCCUACGGGAGGCAGCAGUGGGGAAUAUUGCACAAUGGGCGCAAGCCUGAUGCAGCGACGCCGCGUGAGGGAUGACGGCCUUCGGGGUGUAAACCUCUUUCAGUAGGGAAGAAGAGAAAGUGACGGUACCUGCAGAAGAAGCACCGGCUAACUACGUG